rnacentral:tRNA from 1 species
UCUAUUAUGGCAGAUUAGUGCAAUAAAUUUAAAAUUUAUAUAUAAAGAUUUAUCUUUUUUUAGAA